rnacentral:rRNA from 1 species
UACAGAGGUGGCAAGCGUUGUUCGGAAUUACUGGGCGUAAAGGGCGCGUAGGCGGCCUUCUAAGUCAGACGUGAAAUCCCCCGGCUUAACCUGGGAACUGCGUCUGAUACUGGGAGGCUUGAGUAUGGGAGAGGGAUGUAGAAUUCCAGGUGUAGCGGUGAAAUGCGUAGAUAUCUGGAGGAAUACCGGUGGCGAAGGCGGCAUCCUGGACCAUUACUGACGCUGAGGCGCGAAAGCUAGGGGAGCAAACAGGG